rnacentral:rRNA from 1 species
AGCAGCCGCGGUAAUUCCAGCUCCAAUAGCGUAUAUUAAAGUUGUUGCAGUUAAAAAGCUCGUAGUUGAAUUUCGGGAUCAAUUUAUUGGUCGUACCUUUUGGUACGUACUGAUUUUAUUGGUUUCUCCCUUCUGACGAACCAUGAUGUCAUUAAUUUGAUGUCUUGGGGAAUCAGGACUGUUACUUUGAAAAAUUAGAGUGUUUAAAGCAGGCUCACGCUUGAAUACAUUAGCAUGGAAUAAUGAAAUAGGACGUUUAAUUCUAUUUUGUUGGUUUCUAGGAUUGACGUAAUGAUUAAUAGGGAUAGUUGGGGCAUUAGUAUUCAAUUGUCAGAGGUGAAAUUCUUGGAUUUAUUGAAGACUAACUACUGCGAAAGCAUUUUGCCAA